GAUUAGGUGUGUUAUACUUAACAAAUCGUAUAUGAGACGUUAAGGGUCACGUAUUUGAAGGGGCCGCUUUCGCUGCCUUUUCCGAUGGGUGAUCUUUUUAAGAUCAUACAUGCAAAUAAACAUUUUGGAGGUAACACAAAUGCAAACAGGUACAGUUAAAUGGUUCAACGCAGAAAAAGGUUUCGGUUUCAUCGAAGUUGAGGGCGGCGAAGACGUAUUCGUACACUUCAGCGCUAUCACUGGCGAAGGCUUCAAAACUCUUGACGAAGGCCAACGCGUUGAAUUCAACGUUGUUCAAGGCCAACGCGGCCUGCAAGCUGCAGACGUAGUAAAAGUAUACUAAUCAUCGCCAGCGCCCUGCUAGAUGCAGGGCCUUUUUG
rnacentral:sRNA from 1 species